ACGGCUGUAGCUCAAUUGGUAGAGCAGCUGAUUCCAAAUCAGCAGGUUGGGGGUUCGAGUCCCUCCGGCCGUGCCA
rnacentral:tRNA from 1 species